GACGAACGCUGGCGGCGUGCCUAAUACAUGCAAGUCGAGCGGACGGAUGGGAGCUUGCUUCCAGACCGUCAGCGGCGGACGGGUGAGUAACACGUGGGCAACCUGCCUGUAAAACCGGGAUAACUUUGGGAAACCGGGGCCAAUUCCCGAUUAAUCUAUCCAUCACCAGAGGGAAAGAUGAAAAAUGGCAUUUCGCUAUCACUUUAAGUUGGGCCCGCGCCGCAUUAGCUAGUUGGUGAGGUAACGGCUCACCAAGGCGACGAUGCGUAGCCGACCUGAGAGGGUGAUCGGCCACACUGGAACUGAGACACGGCCCAGACUCCUACGGGAGGCAGCAGUAGGGAAUCUUCCGCAAUGGGCGAAAGUCUGACGGAGCAACGCCGCGUGAGUGAUGAAGGUCUUCGGAUCGUAAAACUCUGUUAUCAGGGAAGAACAAGUACCGAAGCAACUGCCGGUGCCUUGACGGUACCUGACCAGAAAGCCACGGCUAACUACGUG
rnacentral:rRNA from 1 species